rnacentral:lncRNA from 1 species
AUUUUUAAACCUGCAUAUUUAGCUAAAAGAAUCCAGGUUAGCAGGCAAUAUUAACCAGGUGAAAUUGUGUCAGUUCUCUUGCGUUCGUUGCACGCAGAAUCAGGGUAUACAGAAUCUGUCUCGUUGCGAACUAAUUUGCCAGAAUUUUAUGGAACUAUGAAAUAACAUUGUAGGUUGUGCGAUGUAACAGGAAUAUUUAGACUUAUGGAUGCCACCCGUUAGAUAAAAUACGGAACGGUUCCGUAUGUCACUGAAAGAAUAAUGUUUUCGAGAUGAUAGUUUCCAGAUUUGACCAUGUUAGUGACCUAAGGUUUAUUAUAUUAUAGUUAAGUCUAUGAUUUGAUAUUUGAUAGAGCAGUCUGACUGAGCGGUGGUAGGCAGCAGCAGGCUCGUAAUAGUCAAAGAUAUAUGGUUUAGAGAGAAAUAGUCGACGCAUCAUAAUUCCUGUAAUAACUUGCGGCUGAACUUGAAAGGGGUUCCUUCGUUAUUUUACCGUUCAUGUCUUCCAUAGAGAAUGUCUUGAUCUACUUCAAAUAAGGUCUGUGUUUUGUGCUUAAACCGCCUCUGCGUUUUGAUACCCGUGUAAAUCUCACUAGGUAACGUUUGUCAACAUAUUUUCAUAAAUCCACUCUACAAAAAUAAUUAUCUUCGCUUAUAUUGUGCAGAGUUAUAUCCUAUGGAUAUCUACACAGUUAUAAAAUUGGCACGGUGGUGUAAGCCUAAACCAAACACAGACCUUAUUUUAAGUUAAUCUAAAAAUAUCCUAUGGAAUAAAUGAAGGAACCGCUUUUCAGAUUUUGCUAGAAGGUGUCAUGGGAAUUGUGACUCGCACUUUGGUAGUCAAUUCUUACCAUGCCCAUUAUUAAAAUAGGAUUUCCUGCAUAUCGAAAUUACAGUUUUUGUUUUCAGCAUUCAUCACAGGUAACUUAAACUCUAUUUUUAUUAUUCAAACAGUUGAGAGUAUUUGUCUCCUAAGCAGACUCUACAGUAUUGUUGUCACUUCAGAGCUGUGUGUGUGUGUGUGUGUGUGUGUGUGUGUGUGUGUGUGUGUGUGUGUGUGUGUGUGUGUGUGUGUGUGUGUGUGUGUGUGUGUGUGUGUGUGUGUGUGUGUGUGUGUGUGUGUGUGUGUGUCACGUCCUGGCCAGUAUAAGGGUUAAUUAUUAUUUUAGUUUGGUCAGGACGUGGCAGAGGGUAUUUGUUUUAUGUGGUUCAAGGUGGUGUGUUAGUUAGGAGGGCGUUUGAUUUAUUAUUUCCGGGUUUUGAGUUAUGGUCUAUGUUGAUGUAUUUCUAUGUGUAGUCUGGUUGAUCUAUUUCUAUGUUGAGUUAAUUGGGGUGGACUUCCAAUUAAAGGCAGCUGUGUGGUGUUGCCUUUGAUUGGAAGUCCUAUAUUAGUUGGGUGUGUUUGUCUGUGUAUUUGUGGGAGAUUGUUUCUUGUUUUGCCGAGUGAGCCUUUCAAGACUGUUUCGUUGUUCGUGAGUUAGUUUUGUUGUUUUUGUGUUCAUUUUGAUUUAAUAAAUGUUCAAAAUGAACAAACACAUACCUGCUGCGUUUUGGUCCUCCAUUUCCAACGACGACCGUGACAGAGUGUGUGUGUGUGUGUGUGUGUGUGUGUGUGUGUGUGUGUGUGUAUAUAUAUACAUAUAUUUAAAAAAAACAUAAUAAUAAUCGGCCGAUUAAUCGGUAUCGGCUUUUUGGCCCUCCAAUAAUCGGCAUUGGUAUCGGCGUUGAAAAAUCAUAAUCGGUCGACCUCUAGUUCCCAUAGUGUUUAUACUUGCGUACUAUUGUUUGUAACGAUGAAUGUGGUACCUUCAGUCGUUUGGAAAUUGCUCCCAAGGAUGAACCAGACUUGUGGAGGUCUACAAUUUUUUGGGGGAGGUUUUGGCUGAUUUAUUUUGAUUUUCCCCGGUGGGCCUUGAAAUACAUCCACAGGUACACCUCCAAUUGACUCAAAUGAUGUCAACUAGCCUAUCAGAACCUUCUAAAGCCAUUACAUAAUUUUCUGGAAUUUUCCAAGCUGUUUAACGGCUCAGUCAACUUAGUGUAUGUAAACUUCUGACCCACUGGAAUUGCGAUACAGUGAAUUAUAAGUGAAAUAAUCUGUCUGUUAACAAUUGUUGGAAGAAUUGCUUGUGUCAUGCACAAAGUAGAUGUCCUAACUGACUUGCCAAAACUACAGAUUGCUGACAAGAAAUUUGUGGAGUGGUUGAAAAACUAGUUUUAAUGACUCCAAUCUAAGUGUAUGUCAACUUCUGACUUCAACUGUAUAUUCAAAUGAAUUUUUUCAAUGAGGUGUGUUUUAUCACUGGACAGGGCUGGCCUGUUUUGAAUAGUGUACUUUGAGCACCUAUACAACUUCCGUUCCUACCAUGGAAAUACUAUUAAAUUAUUAUAAUUCUUAAUUCUAUGUUUCCAACCCAUCUAUGAAACUGCGUUCCACAAUCAAUAACGUAAUAGGAGCAAUAUUUGCCGAAUAGACUGAAAAGGUGCACAGUGAAUUCACUAACCCAGGCCCAGCUCAUUUAGUCCCUACCAUUGUGUCACUAAGUUAUCAUAAUGUUUCAGCAAAUGUACAUUAUCCCAGGGGCAUUGGAAGACAACAUGCCGAGGACGUCUCUGUGGUUGCAUUAGAGGCUUUGGAAUAAAUGGCCCAGUUAUUUAACAGCCUGACUCCUGUCAUAUGGAAAAAAGAAACACUGAACCUGUUCAAAAACAGGUGAACUAGUUAAGUUAAGAAAUUGGAGGGAUGCGUCGGGUGUGGUGUUGGGGCAUCCUCUGGAGAUGGAGGGUCAGUUACUUCAGGCAAAGGGUCUCUGAAAACGUAUUUCAACAAGCUGAACACCAUCUUGAAACAGAAGGUGGAUCCAACAUCAAAUCCACUCGAAAAUAGGGAACACAGCGCAUGUGAGAUCGUGGGAGCGGAGCUUCGCUACAAACUAGUGCAGUUUUAAAAAUUCCUCGACACCAUGGUCAAGCUGUGACGAAGUCGGCCUCAGAGUCAAGCCGUGAGGAAGGAGCGGUCUGUUGGACAACCACAUAACCAUCAUUGGAGACAUGUAACAUGUCCCUGAGGCUGGCAAAUAGAUUGACGGAUAAUAUUUUACUGACUGACUGAUUUAUUUAUAUGUGAAGGCUAUGUAUUUAUUUAUUUAUAAUACAAUUAAAUGACAUAAACAUGCAUCUAUUAUCAUAUUGUUUUUUUCAUUCAUUUAUAUAUUCAGUCAUCCAUUUAUUCAUCCAUUGUCUUUCAUGCAUUCAUUUGUUCAUAGGGAAUCUAC